UUUUUCCUUGCCUAGCAAGUGAAAGUGUUCUACAAGACCUACAGCAAGUUCACCUUUGAUGUAAUACUUUACUGAAAGCAUCAACUGCAUGGAGAGAUCGCAGGAGGAGAUAAAUGGUUCACCAAAAUUAAGAGGCAGAACUCAAGGAGUAUCUGCCAAGUACGAUGAAGAGAAUGCUGGCUGUGGGCAACCUGAAACUCCAAAUGGAAGCUAGGCCAUCUCUAUUCUGGACAACAAAGGCAAGGCAGGGG